GGGGCAGCAUGGUCCUAGCUUGCUAAGGCUGAUGGCGACCGGCGCACGGGUGAGUAACACGUAUCCAACCUGCCGUCUACUCUUGGCCAGCCUUCUGAAAGGAAGAUUAAUCCAGGAUGGGAUCAUGAGUUCACAUGUCCGCAUGAUUAAAGGUAUUUUCCGGUAGACGAUGGGGAUGCGUUCCAUUAGAUAGUAGGCGGGGUAACGGCCCACCUAGUCAACGAUGGAUAGGGGUUCUGAGAGGAAGGUCCCCCACAUUGGAACUGAGACACGGUCCAAACUCCUACGGGAGGCAGCAGUGAGGAAUAUUGGUCAAUGGGCGAUGGCCUGAACCAGCCAAGUAGCGUGAAGGAUGACUGCCCUAUGGGUUGUAAACUUCUUUUAUAAAGGAAUAAAGUCGGGUAUGCAUACCCGUUUGCAUGUACUUUAUGAAUAAGGAUCGGCUAACUCCGUGCCAGCAGCCGCGGUAAUACGGAGGAUCCGAGCGUUAUCCGGAUUUAUUGGGUUUAAAGGGAGCGUAGAUGGAUGUUUAAGUCAGUUGUGAAAGUUUGCGGCUCAACCGUAAAAUUGCAGUUGAUACUGGAUGUCUUGAGUGCAGUUGAGGCAGGCGGAAUUCGUGGUGUAGCGGUGAAAUGCUUAGAUAUCACGAAGAACUCCGAUUGCGAAGGCAGCCUGCUAAGCUGCAACUGACAUUGAG
rnacentral:rRNA from 1 species